AAGGCUUAGUUGAGUUGAGUUGUACAUUUUGUGUAUGGUUUUAUUGUGAAGGAUUUUAAAGCUAUACUCAUGUGCAUUGGUGACAGCCCCUUUUGGCUCUUCUUUUUACUACAGCACUGCUUUGUUGAUUAACCAAAAAAAAAGCCAUACUAGUUUUGUCAUUGCUACAAAAGUGGUAUAUAAUUAACAGGUAUCCACUGCUCAGUCUGAAAAAAAGGAGAAAAUCCAAAUACAAAUCAGGUGGCUCCUAUUCAAUUGUAUUAAUAUUUUUCCUCUUCUAC
rnacentral:misc_RNA from 1 species